GACUUUUUUUACGCUUUUUCGAGGAAUCAAAUAGAUCCUUAAAUUAGUAAAUAUUGAAAAAAAAUGAUUAAUUUCAUAUAGGUCUCCACAAAUAUAGUGAAUUGCAAAUAUAUUUUUACAAAGUUUAACUUUAUAGUAUGUUGUCCCUACAAAAGUUUUAGUGUUUUCAAAUAUGUCCUUUCUGUUAGAAUUCGUUAGAAAAUUUUAAUUAACUAUAGAUUAAAUACUUAAGGGAAAACUUCAAAAAACCCCCCGUCAUUUCGUCGUUUCUCACUUUGCCCCCCUGUGGUUUAAAAUGUAUCAAUUUGCCCCCCUGUGGUUUCUUUUUUCUCUUUUUCUUAUCAAAUUCUUAUUUUUUUUUCUUAAAUCAGUGAUAAGGUUAAAAUUAAAGAGUACUAAAGUGAAUAUUUGAUAAUUUUAGAUGGGUAUCUGAAAUUUUUUGUAUAUAAUUUAAUAAAAUAUUAACGAAAAAGCUACCGAAAAGAUAAAAACGAAAUCACAGGGGGGCAAAUUGAUACUCUUUAAACCACAGGGGGGCAAAGUGAGAAACUAUGAAACCACAAGGGGGGUUUUUGAAGUUUUCCCAAUACUUAACAAUGGUUAGUCAAUAAGAUAACUUGACAUUUGUCCCUCUCUUAUAUUAUACAUUCUUCUCUCAAUUAAAAUCCUAACAAUAAGAACUCGUCUUCUUCUUUUUUUUCACUCUCUUCUUUAUGCUAAUUUCGAACCCAUCUCCAUUAAUCCACAACGGGUGUUGCUUCGUCCAUAUCAAAUGCGUGUUGUUUUUCAUUUAAUUUUCUCUAUAAUUUUUUCUUUUUUUUUGCUCAAAAGAAAAAAAUUUAGAGAAAAGGAGUGAGAAAAGAGGUUGUAACAAUGGUGGAAUUGAUUGCAUUUUAAAAAAGAAAGAAGAUGAGGAAGAAGAUGACCAUUAAAAAUUUUUGGGAGGGGGGGCAUUUCUGCACGGUUAUAUCUGUUGUGACUUUUAGAGGGAUAUAUUUGUGAUGACAAAAAUAUUAUUUUAUUUAUCUACUAUUAAAAAAUAAACAGUGUUUAACAGUAACAAAGCAGAGAGAUAUAUUUAAAAAUAUCAGGAGUUUUGCAAGAGCAACAUAUAAAAAUUAAACUUUAUAGGAAUAUAUUUAUAAUUCAUUAUAUUUGUAGGAAUCUAUAUGAAAUUAAUUAAAAAAAAAGGCAUUGUUUCAAUGGCAAAACAGACAAUAGCUAAGGAACAAAUUAGAAAACAGGUAUAAAUUAGAUAUAUACUAGAUUUUGGGAGGCAAAUAAAAUUAUUUGUUUAAAUUUUCAGUUGAACUUUAAAUAUACUCUUUUAAAGUCUCCAAAUACCCUUUUAAAGUCUAAAGUAUAACAUAUAUUCCUCCAAAUAUAUAAAUUUAUUAAAAAUAUUCCUAUUCAAGUUAAAAUGAGUGAAAUACUAAUUUAUUAAAAAUAUUCUUAUUCAAAAGAGAGUUAAAUACUACUUAAUGAAAUGAACAGAGCUACCAUGCUUUUAAUAGCACUAAGUCAUUGGUGCUUACGGGAUUUUUGACAAGGAUUGUGGGAUUAGAAAGACAGCGGUUAGGGUUUAGUAGUGGUUGUUGGAAUAAUAUAAUUUAAAAGAUAGAAAUGAUUGAAAGAAUAGAUCUAAUGGUGAAAAAGUUAGUAGAACCAAAUGCUUGGUGCUAUUGGAAAUAUUCUAACCAGGCUCUCUCUAUUUUCCCUCUCUCUCUCCAUAUAUAUAUAUAUAUAGAGAAGAAGAAAGAGAGGAGCAAGAAUACUAUGGAUAGCAUAUGGAGUUCAUUGCUAUCAUUUUUUUUUUCCAAUAAGGGAGCAUUCGAAUAAUUGAUCAUAACCAUUGAACAUGAUUUGAAUCAAUAAAAGUAUUUAGAUAUUAAAUUUCUUACGUUUUCAACAUUAUUAACCAAAUAAUCAAGUGGUUGCAAAAUUUUUACUUUUAAUUGUUGAUACGAGGAAUUCGCUCUUUUAAUAGUGGAAAAGAAUUCAAAUCAAUUGAAUUUUUAUUAGAAAAUUUGUAAACUACUUGAAAUAUCUACACCCUUGAUCUUGAGUACAAGAAUUCUAUCAUUAUCACUUUUUGAAGGAUAUUUAUUUUUAACGAUUCAUUUUUGUGCCCACUUGAUGUCCAAAAAAUAAUAUUAAAAAAUUAUAAAAUUUUAUUCUAGAUCCUUUAAGUAGUCUAGAUUAUUUUCAAUAGUGCACGCUGAUUAUCAAUUUAGAAGCUCCAUCAUAAAAAAUGAAUUGGUUCUAAAAGAGUGUGUUUGCUACUAAUAAUAUGCCAGCGAAACAUAAGUAAGCUGACUCCAGCAAGUAGAAGAAGAAUAAUAUUAAUAAAUAUUUCAAAACUUUAAAAUAUCUAACAUAAAUGCCUUUAUUGAUUCUAAAAGUUUCUUCCAAUGUAUCUCUAAGUUUAGGAUUUUGAGAAGAGAGAAUAAAUUUAAAAAUUUUGAAUAGAUGUGAGUAGGGGUGUCAACGUGGCUCGUUUUCGGCUCGUUUCAUAGACGAGCUGUUCUUGAGCAGACUUAUUAAAGUAUCGAGCCGAAAAAUUUAGCUCAUGUUUGGCUCAUUUAUUAACGAGUCGAAUACGAGUUGACUCACAAACAAUAAGUUAAAAGAUUAGAAAGGACAUAUAUAGGAUAUAAAUUUUCGAGAUUUUACCUAUUAGACUUUGAUCUAACAUUUGAAACUUUAUACAUAUAAAUGAAUUUUUUUAUAAUUGAGUUAGGUUUUAUAUUUAGGUUGGACUAAAAAUCAAAUAAUAAAAAUUUAUAAAAUAUUAUAUAUAAUUAUUUAUUUAUAUAUAUAAAUAUAAAAUAUAUAUAUUCGAGCUAUUAUUGAGCCGAAUACGAACGAGCUAGCCAACCCUAUCUCGUGUUCCGUUUGUUUAUUAAACAAGCUGAAAAAUUCAGAUCGUGUUCGACUCAUUUACUAAACGAGCGAUUUGAUGUCGAGUUCAUUUCGAGCCGAUAAUAAACCGGCUUACGAAAAGCGACCUGGUAGAGCUGAGUGAUUUAUAUGUAAAACUUUCGUUUACUUGAAAAAAAAAAAUAGAUAUUUAAGGAUUUAAGUGCCGUGGUAUGGGUCGUGUCGGAAACUUGUUGACAUGAUACGACACAAAUGCAUGUCGGGCCAUACCGAUAUGUGCCGGUUAUAAAAAUUUCAUGUGUGUCGACACAUAAUAUGAUAAAAUAUUUAUUUUCUUUAGCAACAAAAUAUUCGACUGUUUAAUAUGUAUUGUUAUCAAUUCUUUUUAAACUUAUUAAGAAAAUUACUUACUAAUUUAAAGAAAAAAAGGUUUUGAGCUAUACCAUCGGCACGAAAAUUGUAUUGUGUUGAUAGUUUGUUGACAUGAUACGACACGAUAAAUACGAUCCAUGUCGAUGGGCAUUUAAAUCCUUCAAUAUAUAUAUUUUUUUAUUUUGAGAGAGAAUCCUUCAAUAUAUUGAUAAUCAAAAAAAGGAAAAACUUCAAAAACCCUCCCUUGGCUUUGUAGUUUCUCACUUUGCCCCCUUGUGGUUUACAAUGUAUCAAUUUGCCCUCCUGUGGUUUCGUUUUUCUCUUUUUCUUAUCAAUUUUAUUAUUUUUUUUUCUUAAAUCAGUGAUAAAGUUAAAAUUAAAGGGUACUGAAGUGAAUAUUUGAUAAAUCUAGAUGGGUAUCUAAAGUUUUUGUAUAUAAUUUAAUAAAAUAUUAACGAAAAAGCUACCGAAAAGAUAAAAACGAAAUCACAUGGGGGUAAUUUUAAACCACAGGAGGCAAAGUAAAAAACUACGAAACCACGGUAGGUUUUUUUGAAGAUUUCCCAUCAAAAUAAUA
rnacentral:lncRNA from 1 species